AUUAAGAGCCCAGUGGGCCUGGUGCUGACAAUUAUGACAGGCCUAAUUACAGAAUCAUAUCGACCAAAAACAAUAAAACACUCCCAAGCGUCAUGUAUUUGAUGGAGAUGGUGCUGGAGAGAAAGAAAACAGCAGCUAUAAGAAAACACAUACCCUAGGCUAAUCUCUCUCUAAUUUAUGUUUUUAUCUUUCAAGUAAAUCCAUACCCCUAUCAGCAGUGUCCAGUCAAGCAAGAAGUCAAUGGGCACGGUAAAAGGGUGUGCCACUGACACAAAU